rnacentral:lncRNA from 1 species
AGAGUCAUGUGUAAGUGACAGAAUACAGUAUCCCCCCUUUCCUCAGUUUCCAGUUACUUGUGGCCAACUGGGAUUCAAAAUUGGAUUGGUUUGCCAUGGCUCUUUGAAACAGUUACUCUUGUCCUCAUUGUAGAGAUGGCGAUACUAAGGCAGAAUAUGGCUAGCCUGGACUUCUUUUUGUGGAGACUGGAUUCCAAGAUUGAAAGUAGAAGCUACAUGUUUUCUCCAAGCAGGGCUUUCAGACUUCACUUCUGCAACAUUUUAUUGAUGAAAGCAAGUCACAAGACCAGACUGAUUCAAGGGGUGGAGAAAUAGACCCUACUUCUUGAUGGAGGGAGGAGUAGAGUUACAUUGCAAAGGGAUCUGGACAAAAAAAGGAGUGAUUUAUUAGGAAUCAUGUUUAACAAUUUACCACAAUCCCCAGCGCA